GACGAACGCUGGCGGCGUGCUUAACACAUGCAAGUCGAACGGAAAGGCCCUGCUUUUGUGGGGUGCUCGAGUGGCGAACGGGUGAGUAACACGUGAGUAACCUGCCCUUGACUUUGGGAUAACUUCAGGAAACUGGGGCUAAUACCGGAUAGGAGCUCCUGCUGCAUGGUGGGGGUUGGAAAGUUUCGGCGGUUGGGGAUGGACUCGCGGCUUAUCAGCUUGUUGGUGGGGUAGUGGCUUACCAAGGCUUUGACGGGUAGCCGGCCUGUUAGGGUGACCGGCCACAUUGGGACCGAGAUACGGCCCAGACUCCUACGGGAGGCAGCAGUGGGGAAUAUUGCACAAUGGGCGGAAGCCUGAUGCAGCAACGCCGCGUGCGGGAUGACGGCCUUCGGGUUGUAAACCGCUUUCGCCUGUGACGAAGCGUGAGUGACGGUAAUGGGUAAAGAAGCACCGGCUAACUACGUG
rnacentral:rRNA from 1 species